rnacentral:rRNA from 1 species
GUCUACAGUCAUACCACCAUGAAUGCACCCAAUCUUGUCCGAUCUUGGAAGCUAAGCAGUGUUGGGCCCGGUUAGUACUUGGAUAUGGGAGACCACCUGGCAAUACUGGCCACUGUAGGCU